rnacentral:rRNA from 1 species
CGCGUAGGCGGUCUUGUCGGUCAGAUGUGAAAGCCCAGGGCUCAACCCUGGACGUGCAUUUGAAACAGCAAGACUUGAGUACGGGAGAGGAAAGCGGAAUUCCUGGUGUAGAGGUGAAAUUCGUAGAUAUCAGGAGAAACACCGAUGGCGAAGGCAGCUUUCUGGACCGAUACUGACGCUGAGGCGCGAAGGCGUGGGUAGCGAACAGGAUUAGAUACCCUGGUAGUCC